UGCUGACCCUUGGCUGACCGUCUCUAGGAGAGUGCUCGGUCUACAGAGAAUCAGUCUGUUUGCGUUCGAACCUUCGCUUCUUGUGUCCCGCCCACUCAACGGCAGGGUUUGCCCAGGAUCUAAGAUUUCCUGGGCUUUCGACCUCGGGGCUGAAACUUUAUGCAGCCUCGGCCUCACCAUGUACACAUGGAGGCUUUUCCAGCCUUCCUCUCUCCAUUGGGCAUGGAGUACCGCUGCCCUGAAACACACCCUGGGCAGGCAGCAGGGAGCCUUCCGAUGGACACACUCUGGUGGCCACAGCUACAGAGCAGUCAUCUUUGACAUGGGUGGAGUCCUCGUGCCUUCUCCAGGGACAGUGGCUGCCCAAUGGGAGGUGCAGAAUCAUGUCCCUUCUGGAACUAUAUUGAAGGCUUUGAUCAGAGAUGGUGACAGUGGGCCCUGGAUGAGGUUUAUGAGAGGAGAGAUGACAACAGAGGGCUUCUUGGAAGAAUUCGGGAGACUGUACUCUGAAAUUGCAAAGACUUCUGUGCCCGUGAGCUCAUUUUUCUCUCUGCUGACCAGUGAGCAAGUGGCCAAGCAGUUCCCAGUGAUGACACAGGCUAUCUCUCGGAUCAGAGCAGAGGGCCUUCAGACUGCAGUCUUGACCAAUAAUUUUUAUCUUUCCAAUGGGAAAAGCUUUUUGCCCCUGGACCGGAAACAGUUUGAUGUGGUGGUGGAGUCCUGCCUGGAAGGCAUCUGCAAGCCAGACCCCAGGAUAUUCCAGCUGUGCCUGCAGCGGCUGAACCUGCAGCCCUCAGAGACCAUUUUUCUUGAUGAUCUAGGACCAAAUCUAAAAGCAGCUGCCAGCCUGGGCAUUCACACCAUUAAGGUUGCCAAUCCUGAGACAGCAGUGAAGGAGUUGGAAGCUCUUCUGGGUUUCCCGUUGCGCGUGGGUGUCCCCAACACUCGUCCUGUGAGGAAGACCAUGGAGAUUCCAGAAGAUGCCUUGGAGAAGUACCUGAAGGGCUUGCUAGGGACCCACUACUCAGGCCCCAUGGAGCUCCUUCAGUUUGAUCAUGGACAGUCAAAUCCAACCUAUUACAUCAGGCUGGGUAACCGUCAGCUGGUUCUAAGGAAGAAACCCCCCGGGCCCCUCCUUCCCUCUGCCCAUGCCAUAGAGAGAGAGUUCAGAGUAAUGAAAGCCCUUGGGAAUGCUGGUGUCCCUGUCCCCACUGUCCUUGACCUCUGUGAAGACCCAAGCGUCAUCGGCACCCCCUUCUACUUGAUGGAGUACUGCCCGGGCAUCAUCUACAAAGACCCCUCCCUGCCUGGCUUGGAGCCCAGCCAGCGGCAAGCCAUAUACAAUGCUAUGAACCAAGUCCUGUGCAGAAUUCACAGUGUGGACCUGCAGGCUGGGGGCCUGGAGAGCUUCGGGAAGCCAGGGGACUAUAUUCCUCGACAGGUGAAAACCUGGACCAAGCAGUACCGAGCAGCCGAAACCAGCACCAUCCCAGCAAUGGAGAGGCUUAUCCAGUGGCUGCCACUGCACCUUCCCAGGCAACAGAGAACCACAGUGGUGCACGGUGACUUCAGGCUGGACAACCUGAUAUUCCAUCCUGAAAAGGCGGAGGUGCUCGCUGUCCUGGACUGGGAACUUUCCACCUUAGGGGACCCCUUUGCUGACGUGGCCUAUAGCUGCCUGGCUCACUACCUGCCAUCCAGCUUUCCCAUGCUGAGAGGGUUCAGGGACCAGGAUGUGACGGAGCUGGGCAUCCCCACUGCGGAGGAGUACUUCAGGAAGUACUGUCUUCGUAUGGACCUCCCGCCCAUUGACAACUGGAGCUUCUACAUGGCUUUCUCAUUUUUCCGCGUGGCUGCGAUUCUACAGGGCGUCUACAAGCGGUCACUCACAGGCCAGGCAAGCUCGGCCACAGCCGAACAAAGCGGAAAGCUCACGGAGUCCAUGGCUGAGCUGGCAUGGGACUUUGCCACCAAAGAAGGGUUCCGGGUUUUCAAGGCGACGCCAUCCGCCAAACCACUAAUGGGAUCCUACCAUUCAUGGGCUGGGCAGUCGUCCCCAAGGACCACCUCGGGUGUGAGACAUUACAGCAGCGUAGCAGCUGCUGCCCCUUCUCACGAGGCAAAGGGAGGCCUGAUCAUCUCUCCAGAGGGCCUGUCUCCUCGAGUCAGAAAGCUGUACGACCAGCUGUUACGGUUUAUGGAACUGAAUGUGUACCCCGCGGAGGAGGAGCUGCAGAGACACCAAGCCUCGGCCGACAGGUGGCGCCCUUCCCCGCUGAUCGAAGAGCUCAAGGAGAAAGCCAAGGCUGAAGGGCUUUGGAACCUUUUCCUGCCCUUGGAGACAGAUCCUGAGAAAAAGUAUGGUGCAGGGCUGACAAACUUGGAAUAUGCACAUCUGUGUGAAGUGAUGGGCAUGUGUUUCUAUGCUCCUGAGAUAUUUAAUUGUUCUGCCCCAGAUACGGGGAAUAUGGAGAUCCUGCUGCAGUACGGCACCGAGGAGCAGAAGGCCCGCUGGCUGGUACCGCUGCUAGAAGGCAGGAUCCGUUCCUGCUUCGCCAUGACUGAGCCUCAGGUAGCCUCCUCAGACGCCUCUAAUAUCGAGGCUUCCAUCAGAGAGGAAGAUGGCUGCUAUGUCAUAAAUGGUCACAAGUGGUGGAGCUCAGGCAUCCUGGAUCCACGCUGCAAACUUUGUGUGUUCAUGGGAAAAACAGACCCUCAGGCGCAGAGGCACCAGCAGCAGUCCAUGCUCUUGGUUCCCAUGGACACUCCCGGAAUCAAAGUCAUCCGGCCUCUGUCGGUGUUUGGGUUGGAGGAUCCUCCAGGAGGCCACGGUGAAGCACAGUUCAAGGACGUGCGUGUGCCCAAGGAAAACAUACUUGUGGGCCCUGGCCGAGGCUUCGAGAUUGCCCAGGGCCGGCUGGGGCCUGGCCGGAUCCAUCACUGCAUGAGGUUGAUCGGGUAUGCAGAGAGGGCCCUAUCGCUGCUGAAAACACGUGCGAUGUCCCGUACGACCUUCGGGAAACCGCUCAUAGAGCAUGGCACCAUCAUGGCUGACAUUGCCCAGUCACGUGUGGACAUCGAGCAGGCACGGCUGCUGGUGCUGAAAGCUGCCCACCUCAUGGAUGUGGCAGGAAACAAGGCUGCAGCCUUAGAGAUUGCCAUGAUUAAAAUGGUAGCCCCUUCCAUGGCCUGUCGCGUAAUUGACCGAGCUAUUCAGUGCAUUCUGCUCGCAAGUAGCUGGCCUCAGGCUCAAGGGAGCCCUGCUGGUGCCUCCUUCCGCAUCCUGACACCUGAGCUCACGCAGAACCUCCUCAGUAGCAGGAGCAACCUGCUAGAAUGGGCUAGGCCUUUGGAGGAGCUGGCCUAAGCAGCAACUACCCCCUGGCUCAGUUCUAUGCCUGGGCACGAGCCCUGCGCAUUGCUGACGGCCCUGAUGAGGUACACCAGCUGACAGUGGCUAGGAGGGAACUGAAGAAUCGUGCCAGGCUGCAGGAGCCAGCGGCGCCCAGAGAGUAGAUGCUGUGUUUGGAAAGGCCUGGCUGUAGGAAUAUGGACACUUGUGUGCUGUGAUCUCUCCACAAACAAUGGAGCUUCUAGGAAAGCAGAGAGCGUGGGACACAUCAGAUGCUCCUGAAAACUGGGAUGAAAUCAUUCUGUGACCACUGGAGUCAUCAUAGAAUACUAACUCGAUGCCCUGUUUGAAUACGGAUAUGGGGACACAAAGGGUCUGUGUACUUCCUCUUUUCACAUGAGGGACAUGGGAAUAAAGGCUCCUACAGCCCCUGUG